rnacentral:rRNA from 1 species
GAUGAACGCUGGCGGCGUGCCUAAUACAUGCAAGUCGAGCGAACGGACGAGAAGCUUGCUUCUCUGAUGUUAGCGGCGGACGGGUGAGUAACACGUGGAUAACCUACCUAUAAGACUGGGAUAACUUCGGGAAACCGGAGCUAAUACCGGAUGAUAUUUUGAACCGCAUGGUUCAAAAGUGAAAGACGGUCUUGCUGUCACUUAUAGAUGGAUCCGCGCUGCAUUAGCUAGUUGGUAAGGUAACGGCUUACCAAGGCAACGAUGCAUAGCCGACCUGAGAGGGUGAUCGGCCACACUGGAACUGAGACACGGUCCAGACUCCUACGGGAGGCAGCAGUAGGGAAGCUUCCGCAAUGGGCGAAAGCCUGACGGAGCAACGCCGCGUGAGUGAUGAAGGUCUUCGGAUCGUAAAACUCUGUUAUUAGGGAAGAACAUAUGUGUAAGUAACUGUGCACAUCUUGACGGUACCUAAUCAGAAAGCCACGGCUAACUACGUG